rnacentral:rRNA from 1 species
GGAUCAUUAACGAGUAAAGCUGUAAAAAGGCUUUCUUUUCAUCCAACACCUGUGAACACAAAACAAAUUUGCUUUGGCGAAUCGUAAAAACAUUCGCCAACAAUCAAAAUCUAUUAAUUUGUUGUCUGAGUGAAGAAUAUUAAAAUUCAAAACUUUCAACAACGGAUCUCUUGGUUCUCGCAUCGAUGAAGAACGCAGCGAAACGCGAUAUGUAAUGUGAAUUGCAGAAUUUUGUGAAUCAUCGAAUCUUUGAACGCACAUUGCGCCCUCUGGUAUUCCGGAGGGCAUACCUGUUUGAGCGUCAGUUCCUUCUCAAACUUUAUGUUUGGUGUUGACUAACUACGUUUCUUUUUUUUUGAAGCGUAUUGGUUGAAAUACAUUGGCUAAGCAUUCUUUAGUAUUUACAACGUAUUAGGUUUUACCAACUCGUUGGAUUGUAUUUUAGAAAGCGCUGGGCGAUAGAACAGAACUUUUAAAAUUUGACCUCAAAUCAGGCAGGACUACCCGCUGAACUUAAGCAUA